GACAGUUGGAGCAAUCCUCUGUAGAUGAUAAAUGACAACUGUCAUAUAUUGGAAGUCGAUGGCUGCCGCUGCCUUUCUACUCGCUAGAACUUCAAACAUCUUGUGUUGCUUUUGUAUUCGCUUAUGCAAUGGAGACUAG
rnacentral:lncRNA from 14 species